rnacentral:siRNA from 1 species
UGGGAAGUUUGUCAGUUGGGCCUU